UACGGAGGGUGCAAGCGUUGUCCGGAAUCACUGGGCGUAAAGGGCGCGUAGGCGGCUCAUGAAGGCUGUGGUGAAAGUCCGGGGCUCAACCUCGGAUCGGCCGUGGCGACUCGUGGGCUGGAGCACUGUAGAGGCGGGUGGAAUUCCGGGUGUAGCGGUGAAAUGCGUAGAUAUCAGGAGGAACACCGGUGGUGUAGACGGCUUACUGGACCACGACUGACACUGAGGCACGAAAGCGUGGGGAUCAAACAGG
rnacentral:rRNA from 1 species